UACGUAGGGAGCAAGCGUUGUCCGGAAUCAUUGGGCGUAAAGCGCGCGUAGGCGGCCCUGUAAGUCCGUUGUGAAAGUCAAAGGCUCAACCUUUGAAUGCCGAUGGAUACUGCAGGGCUAGAGUCCGGAAGAGGCGAGUGGAAUUCCUGGUGUAGCGGUGGAAUGCGCAGAUAUCAGGAGGAACACCAACGGCGAAGGCAGCUCGCUGGGACGGUACUGACGCUAAGGCGCGAAAGCGUGGGAGCGAACAGG
rnacentral:rRNA from 1 species